rnacentral:tRNA from 1 species
GCCCGGUUGGCGCAAUGGUAGCGUGUUCGCCUCCUAAGCGAGAGGUUGUGGGUUCGAGUCCCACAUCGGGUG